CAUAAAACAAGAAAUAAUAUUCUGUACUAAUACUUCUGUACUAGCCAAUACACAGUGAAUAAAUAUUAUCUGAAAGUCGGGUUAUUGUUGUUUAUCAGCACAAUACAAAAAGAUUCAUGUUAGAAAUAUUCCAGUUAAGACUCUAGAAUAUCAUGAUUUAUGUAAAUUUACCUCAAUAAUAUGAAUGUUCAGGUUAAGAUUGUGCAGUGAUAUUUAUUAUGUAAGUUUAGCUGAUUAAAGUUUAUUAUUUAAAUUGACAUCAUUAUUAUAAUAUUUAGGGUCAGACUCUACAGUAUUGAGAUUAAGAAAUCAAAUAUUCUAUAAAAUGUAAAUACACUGAACUCAUUUGGAUAUAUUUAAGUGAGACUCUACAAUAUUAUUUAUGACACAAAUCUAUCUAAAUCAACAUUUUAAUCAUUUUUUACUCCAAACAUUUACUGGACUGAUUUAAAUAUUAAAAUCACUCCUUUCUAAUCCUCUGCUGUACGUUCAAACCUGAGGCCUUAAAUAGAAACACACAAGUAUCUGAUUGAAGGAACUUCUGCAGAGUCCUGGUUCCAGAACAUGAUGAUAGAAUUAUAGACAAACUUUAACAAAAGCUGCCUGAGAGUUUACAGGUUUUUAUGUUAGAUUUCUUCAGUAAUUUAAUGAGAGUUAUCAGCAAAAAUCAAGUGUUCAUUUGAUGAACUUCAUUUCCUAAAACAUCCAGAAUUGGAGCUCAUAUCUUUGGCAGCUGUAAAGUUUCUGCUCCUUCAAAGUUCACAACACAAUGAAUGAAUUCCUAAAACACUCUCAAUGCUGGAGAGCGUUUGAUGCUGAAGCAGUGACCAGUUUUUCUGUUUCUUCUCUGGAGAUGCACAAUGAGGGACGUCUGCAGAGACUGAGAAAGAGUCUCACCACAUCCUGACAUGAGGAAAAAGACUUUAUUGAAGACUACAAUGAGAAAAACUAUCAGACAGCAGACGGCUGCAUUCAAGGUGAGCUCUGAACAUUUGAUCUGGAACAGGAAUUCAAUAACGGCAGCAUGAGCUUCAUUUCAGUCUGUAGCUGCUGAAUUCAUGGAUGAAUCAUCUGGCACUAGAGAGGAAGACCAUCAAACAUCCACGUCAGCUGAUGGAGGUCCAAGAGUCUCACCAAACAAACAACCUACAGAGUGAAGACCUCCAAUCUGAUUGGACGGCCUCCUAUUCAGCCACAUGCUGUUAGAUUGUUCCAGAUAAGACAAGUACAAGAUUCUUCAGAGCCGUUCUACCACGAGCCUGACAGGAAGAACUCCAACAGCUACUGAAUGUUCCUGUGGUUCCCUCAAGGCUACAGGAGGAGUCCUACGAGGACGAGCCGGUCCACCUGAUGGUGGCCAGUCGCUGCGGUUCAAAGCCAACACCGACUACGUGGACUUCUACUGGAC
ensembl:lncRNA